UACACUAUCGCUCCCAACGCUCUCUUCUUAUCAUCUCUCUCUCUCUGAGCUGCGAGAGAGAAGCGAUUUUCUCUCUCUUCAACGGCGAUGCACUCCCUCCGGUCGCCGGCGCUGCGGCCCCUCCCUCUCUCGCCGGCCUCGAAUCCCUCGCGCCCUCUGCGCUUCCGCCUCUUCGCUCUCUCCCUCCCUCUGUUCCCGAGCUCCUGGCGGUCUCCUUCCGAGCGCCUCGCGAGACCGGCCGCCGGACCUCGGUUCCGCGUCGUCCGGAGCUGCGGCUCCGUCACCGCGAAGCCGUCUUCGGAGAUCGGGAGGCGCGGGGGCGGCCGGCCGGAGCCCGACGAGAAGCUCCGGGCUCUCCGCGAGCUCUUCACGCGGCCUGGGAUCGGCAUCGAUGCGUACAUCGUUCCUUCUCAGGACGCUCACCAGAGUGAGUUCAUUGCUGAAUGUUACACAAGGAGGGCCUACAUAUCAGGUUUUACAGGCAGUGCUGGCACUGCUGUCGUCACCAAGGAUAAAGCAGCUUUGUGGACAGAUGGACGUUAUUUUCUUCAGGCUGAGAAUCAGCUAAACUCCAGUUGGAUUCUCAUGCGGGCUGGUAAUCUGGGAGUUCCAACAACUAGUGAAUGGCUCAAUGACGUUCUGGCUCCCGGAUGCAGAAUCGGCAUUGAUCCUUUUCUCUUCUCUUCUGAUGCUGCGGAGGAAUUAAAGGAGGCUAUUGCUAAGAAAAAUCAUGAGCUGGUUCUCCUCUACAAUAUAAACUUGGUGGAUGAAGUAUGGAAAGAAAGGCCAAAGCCUCCAAAUAAGCCAGUUAGAAUUCAUGACCUAAAAUUCGCUGGCUUAGAUGUGGCAUCAAAACUCUCUUUCCUGAGGGCCGAAUUUGUUGAUGCUGGUGCAUCUGCCAUCAUUAUAUCAAUGCUUGAUGAGGUGGCAUGGCUAUUAAACCUGAGAGGAAAUGACGUUCCAAAUUCUCCAGUUGUUUAUGCCUAUUUACUUGUGAAGACUGAGACAGCUGAGUUAUUCGUUGAUAGUUCCAAAAUCACACCAGAAGUGAUGGAUCAUUUGAAAAAUGCAGGCGUAGAGUUGAGACCAUACGAUAAAAUUCUGUCUGAAAUAGAAAAUUUGGCAAAACAAGGGAGAAAUCUUUGGUUAGACACAUCAUCAGUAAAUGCUGCUAUUGUCAACACCUACAAGUCUGCCUGUGAUAAGUAUCUGAAUAAAAAGAAUAAGGCAAGGGUGCACGAUUAUAAUGGUCGAUCAGCCAUGCCAUCUGGAGUUUAUAGAGCUUCCCCUAUCUCUUUGGCCAAGGCAGUGAAAAAUGAUGCCGAGUUACAGGGAAUGCGGAAUUCUCAUUUAAGGGAUGCAGCUGCUCUAGCUCAUUUCUGGGUCUGGUUGGAAGAAGAAAUUAAUAGGGGUGCUAAACUUACAGAAGUAGAAGUUGCAGAUAAGCUCCUCGAGUUUCGGUCUAAGCAGGACGGUUUCAUUGAUACAAGCUUUGACACAAUAAGUGCUUCUGGGGCCAAUGGUGCAGUCAUACAUUACAAACCAGAACCAGGCAGUUGCAGUGUUUUGGAUGUCGAGAAGCUGUUCCUGCUAGAUAGUGGUGCUCAAUAUGUUGAUGGCACAACUGAUAUAACCAGAACAGUGCAUUUUGGGGAACCCACACCACGGCAAAAAGAAUGCUUCACCCGAGUUUUGCAGGGCCACAUAGCUCUUGAUCAAGCUGUUUUUCCUGAAAAUACCCCUGGCUUUGUCCUGGAUGCAUUUGCUCGCUCGUCUCUAUGGAAGAUCGGCCUCGACUAUCGGCAUGGUACAUUUCAUUCCUUAGCUGCUUGGUUAUUCAAAAUACCUAUGAGAAUACAUUCAAGUGCGGCCUCUUUUUCUUUCCUUGUAAUAGGGACUGGACAUGGCGUGGGAGCUGCAUUAAAUGUUCAUGAAGGACCUCAAAGUAUUAGUUUCCGUUACGGGAAUCUGACCUCCUUACAGAAAGGGAUGGUCGUGAGCAACGAACCUGGUUACCAUGAAGACCAUGCCUUUGGCAUUCGUAUCGAGAACCUUCUUUCUGGUGGAGAUGAACACGCCAAAUCGCUUUGGAGGGGUCGGAUAUCUGGGAUUUGAGAAACUCACGUUCGUUCCAAUUCAGACUAAAAUGGUGGACUCGGCCUUGCUCUCGUCCGCCGAGAUCGACUGGCUCAACGACUACCAUGCACAAGUCUGGGAAAAGGUUUCGCCGCUGCUAGACGGUUCUGCUCGUCAAUGGCUUUGGGACAAUACACGACCGCUCCCAAUUGAGUGAUUACCAUUAACUUUCUUUCUGUUAUAAUUUUUUCUCUCUUAUUUCAAUUUUUAAGAAUUUUGGGACUCCGUCCCUCCUCUGUUCUGCGGAAAUGCUGUUUUACAAAAUGUAAUUGUAGGAUGAUUUGCUCAAUCGGCUUUAAAAGCCAACAGCGAGUUGCAAAACCAUAAA